GCUUCUGUGGCUCAAAAGGGUAGGGUGCUGGCCCCAUAUGCCAGAGGUGGCAGGUUCAAACCCAGCCCCGGACCA
rfam:Otolemur garnettii contig019742, whole genome shotgun sequence.